AGACAGCAGUAGCCGCGGUAAUACGAAGGGUGCAAGCGUUAAUCGGAAUUACUGGGCGUAAAGCGUGCGUAGGCGGUGAGUUAAGUCUGCUGUGAAAUCCCCGGGCUCAACCUGGGAAUGGCAGUGGAUACUGGCUCGCUAGAGUGUGUCAGAGGAUGGUGGAAUUCCCGGUGUAGCGGUGAAAUGCGUAGAGAUCGGGAGGAACAUCAGUGGCGAAGGCGGCCAUCUGGGACAACACUGACGCAGAGGCACGAAAGCGUGGGGAGCAAACAGGAUUAGAUACCCCCGUAGUCCCUGUCUCUUAUAC
rnacentral:rRNA from 1 species